rnacentral:rRNA from 1 species
CGGGUGAGUAACACGUGGAUAACCUACCUAUAAGACUGGGAUAACUUCGGGAAACCGGAGCUAAUACCGGAUAAUAUUUUGAACCGCAUGGUUCAAAAGUGAAAGACGGUCUUGCUGUCACUUAUAGAUGGAUCCGCGCUGCAUUAGCUAGUUGGUAAGGUAACGGCUUACCAAGGCAACGAUGCAUAGCCGACCUGAGAGGGUGAUCGACCACACUGGAACUGAGACACGGUCCAG